UUUCUGCCUCGUUAAAAACCUUGGAGAAGAACCUCCUUGCCUUUCAAAAUCCUCACCAAGGAAAAGAGUACAGAAUCAUCACCUAAGUUACCUAGUCAUUGUUACUGGGCUCUUCAUUCUUCAAAAUAGAGAUGUUGAAGAUGUGAGCUCCAGCCUCCAGUUGAUCGAUGUCCUCUGCGGCAAUGAGUGCGUGAGCCUCCUUAGCCAUCUCUCUAGCUCUGGAACGAGUAAUCCUGCCAGCUACCUCUGUUUCCUCCUCCUCUGAGCUGGUCACGAUCAUAUCAGAUACCAUCAAACAAUUCUCGAGAAUUCUCAAUGAUGGAAGAAAUGGUAUUUUUUCCUUCCCAAAACUUUU
rnacentral:lncRNA from 1 species